CACGUAGGGGGGCAAGCGUUGUCCGGAUUUAUUGGGCGUAAAGAGCUCGUAGGCGGCUUGUUGCGUCGACUGUGAAAACCUGCGGCUCAACCGUGUGGUCUGCAGUCGAUACGGGCAGGCUGGAGUUCGGUAGGGGAGACUGGAAUUCCUGGUGUAGCGGUGAAAUGCGCAGAUAUCAGGAGGAACACCCAUGGCGAAGGCAGCUCUCUGGUCGAGCAUCGUGACGCUGAGACGC
rnacentral:rRNA from 1 species